AUGAACGCUGGCGGCGUGCCUAAUACAUGCCAGUCGAGCGAACGGACGAGAAGCUUGCUUCUCUGAUGUUAGCGGCGGACGGGUGAGUAACACGUGGAUAACCUACCUAUAAGACUGGGAUAACUUCGGGAAACCGGAGCUAAUACCGGAUGAUAUUUUGAACCGCAUGGUUCAAAAGUGAAAGACGGUCUUGCUGUCACUUAUAGAUGGAUCCGCGCUGCAUUAGCUAGUUGGUAAGGUAACGGCUUACCAAGGCAACGAUGCAUAGCCGACCUGAGAGGGUGAUCGGCCACACUGGAACUGAGACACGGUCCAGACUCCUACGGGAGGCAGCAGUAGGGAAUCUUCCGCAAUGGGCGAAAGCCUGACGGAGCAACGCCGCGUGAGUGAUGAAGGUCUUCGGAUCGUAAAACUCUGUUAUUAGGGAAGAACAUAUGUGUAAGUAACUGUGCACAUCUUGACGGUACCUAAUCAGGAAGCCACGGCUAACUACGUG
rnacentral:rRNA from 1 species